rnacentral:lncRNA from 1 species
GCACAUGUAUUUUAUAGAUGAACAAUGUAAGAAAGUGUUUGAUGAAUUUACCACCUACACAAAGUAGUCCUCCAUGACUCGAUGACUUCAAAUGGAUUAGACCAUCCAAGCAAGAGCACCAUGUCUUGAUCGGGUGGCAUCCAUCGGUUUGCUUCGCGGUGUAGAUUUGUCAUUCCAUGCCAACUACAUAUCCCAAUUCAUUGCAAGAGAUAAUGAGAGUAUCUUCCUCACAGUGAGUGCAUGGAAUUGGAUACAAGCUUCUGCAACCUUUGUCUUAAUUAGAGCCUGGUAUUGGUCAUGUUGCAUAAGGAUACCUUCACACACAAUACAAAAAAAAGAUCCAAAACUUACCAUGUGGAAAUGGAUUCUCUUCAGGGGCCACAUUUGUCUCUUCAAGUUCUCAAAGGUCACUAUCAGUUUCAAUUAGCAUCAGAACAGAAAGAAGGGCCACCUAGAAGAAAGGGGCAUGCCCAAGCCUAAAUCUAUGUAAUAAACAUAUGUUUCUAAUUACAAUAGGAAGAAGAAAACAAGACACAUAGCAGUGUCCUCAAAGCUAAUUUGUGCAUUUCAGAAACAAAGAAGAGCCAUUGAGAAAUAAAACUUCCUUUAAUCAAGUGUAUGAUACUGUAAGUGGCAAGAAUGCACAUUACCAAUUUCUUCUCCUAGCAUAAAUAUCCAAAUAUUAACUUCAAAUGCACUGCAAAUAGUUCUUUAAAGCACUUAAACCAUUAUGUUCCGAGAAUUGAAUGCUCGAAUUUAAGAGCGAUCGCUAUAAGCAUCUGGAUAGACGAGCUUUUAUCUGGAUGCAUCUUAUAUAUCUGAAUUAUGAAUCAACUGCUUGUUAGAGAUUCCAAAUAACAAUUUGCAUUUCAACAAGAUGCUCCAUCUUGCUGAUAUUGAACCUGAAAUCAGAAAACCUAGCAUGAGGCAAAUCUCAUCUGUGUGAAGAGGAAGAUGCAUAAGAAUACCAUGAAACUCAUUCUGCUUUUCUACCUGAUUUGGUGACAUGAAGGCAAGUGAUAUGAGGUGCAUUUAACCCCAGGUUUACAUGCAUAUUAUUCACUGACUGCUAGUACAGAGAACUCUCUGCAUUAUACAACAAUCAGAUGAAGAAAAUGAAUAUGUUGCAGC